rnacentral:tRNA from 1 species
GUGUGGCUCAGUGAUAGAGCAUGUGCUUAACAUGUUUAAGAACCUGGAUUCAAUUCCCAGCAC